GAGUUUGAUCCUGGCUCAGGAUGAACGCUAGCGGCAGGCUUAACACAUGCAAGUCGAGGGGUAACAGGAGUGCUUGCACUCGCUGACGACCGGCGCACGGGUGCGUAACGCGUAUAGAACUUACCUUUUACAGAGGGAUAGCCCUUAGAAAUGAAGAUUAAUACCUCAUAGUAUUGAGACUCGGCAUCGAGACUCACUUAAAGAUUUAUCGGUAAAAGAUGGCUAUGCGUCCUAUUGGUUAGUUGGUAAGGUAACGGCUUACCAAGGCAGCGAUAGGUAGGGGUCCUGAGAGGGAGAUCCCCCACACUGGUACUGAGACACGGACCAGACUCCUACGGUAGGCAGCAGUGAGGAAUAUUGGGCAAUGGAGGCAACUCUGACCCAGCCAUGCCGCGUGCAGGAAGACUGCCCUAUGGGUUGUAAACUGCUUUUAUACAAGAAGAAACCUCGGUACGUGUACCGACUUGACGGUAUUGUAUGAAUAAGCACCGGCUAACUCCGUGCCAGCAGCCGCGGUAAUACGGAGGGUGCAAGCGUUAUCCGGAUUUAUUAGGUUUAAAGGGUCCGCAGGCGGAAUAUUAAGUCAGUGGUGAAAGCCUACAGCUCAACUGUAGAACUGCCAUUGAAACUGUUAUUCUUGAGUAUGGAUGAAGUGGGCGGAAUAUGUCAUGUAGCGGUGAAAUGCAUAGAUAUGACAUGGAACACCAAUUGCGAAGGCAGCUCACUAAACCAUUACUGACGCUCAUGGACGAAAGCGUGGGGAGCGAACAGGAUUAGAUACCCUGGUAGUCCACGCCGUAAACGAUGAUCACUAGAUGUUGGCGAUAUAAUGUCAGCGUUCAAGAGAAAUCGAUAAGUGAUCCACCUGGGGAGUACGUUCGCAAGAAUGAAACUCAAAGGAAUUGACGGGGGCCCGCACAAGCGGAGGAGCAUGUGGUUUAAUUCGAUGAUACGCGAGGAACCCUACCAAGGCUUAAAUGUAAUAUGACCGGUUGAGAGAUCAACCUUUUUUCGAACAGAUUACAAGGUGCUGCAUGGUUGUCGUCAGCUCGUGCCGUGAGGUGUCGGGUUAAGUCCCAUAACGAGCGCAACCCCUAUUUUUAGUUACCAGCGAGUAAUGUCGGGAACUCUAGAAAAACUGCCUGUGCAAACAGAGAGGAAGGUGGGGAUGACGUCAAAUCAUCACGGCCCUUAUGUCUUGGGCUACACACGUGCUACAAUGGUUACUACAAUGUGAUGCCAUCUGGUGACAGAGAGCUAAUCAAUAAAGGUAAUCUCAGUUCGGAUUGGAGUCUGCAACUCGACUCUAUGAAGUUGGAUUCGCUAGUAAUCGUAUAUUAGCCAUGAUACGGUGAAUACGUUCCCGGGCCUUGUACUCACCGCCCGUC
rnacentral:rRNA from 1 species